rnacentral:rRNA from 1 species
GGCCGCGGGAAUUCGAUUCAGGCCUAACACAUGCAAGUCGAGCGGAGAUGAGGUGCUUGCACCUUAUCUUAAAAAAGGACGGGUGAGUAAUGCUUAGGAAUCUGCCUAUUAGUGGGGGACAACAUUCCGAAGGGAAUGCUAAUGCCGCAUACGUCCUACGGGAGAAAGCAGGGGAUCUUCGGACCUUGCGCUAAUAGACGAGCCUAAGUCGGAUUAGCUAGUUGGUGGGGUAAAGGCCUACCAAGGCGACGAUCUGUAGCGGGUCUGAGAGGAUGAUCCGCCACACUGGUUUUGGGGCACGGCCCAGACUCCUGCGGGAGGCAGCAGGGGGGGAUAUUGGACAA